GAUUCGUCACACUAUCAUUAACUGAAUCCAUAGGUUAAUGAGGCGAACCGGGGGAACUGAAACAUCUAAGUACCCCGAGGAAAAGAAAUCAACCGAGAUUCCCCCAGUAGCGGCGAGCGAACGGGGAGGAGCCCAGAGCCUGAAUCAGCAUGUGUGUUAGUGGAAGCGUCUGGAAAGGCGCGCGAUACAGGGUGACAGCCCCGUACACAAAAGCGCAUGUGCUGUGAGCUCGAUGAGUAGGGCGGGACACGUGGUAUCCUGUCUGAAUAUGGGGGGACCAUCCUCCAAGGCUAAAUACUCCUGACUGACCGAUAGUGAACCAGUACCGUGAGGGAAAGGCGAAAAGAACCCCGGCGAGGGGAGUGAAAAAGAACCUGAAACCGUGUACGUACAAGCAGUGGGAGCACCCUUCGGGGUGUGACUGCGUACCUUUUGUAUAAUGGGUCAGCGACUU
rnacentral:rRNA from 3 species